AAAAAAUGGCAAGGUCAGUACGAAUAUAAGUACCACACGUUAGCUGGUGUGGAUGAGUGGCGAACGGGUGAGUAAUACGUGAGUAACCUGCCCUUGACUCUGGGAUAAGCCCGGGAAACUGGGUCUAAUACUGGAUGCUACAUGUCACCGCAUGGUGGUGUGUGGAAAGGGUUUACUGGUCUUGGAUGGGCUCACGGCCUAUCAGCUUGUUGGUGAGGUAAUGGCUCACCAAGGCGACGACGGGUAGCCGGCCUGAGAGGGUGACCGGCCACACUGGGACUGAGACACGGCCCAGACUCCUACGGGAGGCAGCAGUGGGGAAUAUUGCACAAUGGGCGAAAGCCUGAUGCAGCGACGCCGCGUGAGGGAUGACGGCCUUCGGGUUGUAAACCUCUUUCAGCAGGGAAGAAGCCACAAGUGACGGUACCUGCAGAAGAAGCGCCGGCUAACUACGUGCCAGCAGCCGCGGUAAUACGUAGGGCGCAAGCGUUGUCCGGAAUUAUUGGGCGUAAAGAGCUCGUAGGCGGUUUGUCGCGUCUGCUGUGAAAGCCCGGGGCUUAACCCCGGGUGUGCAGUGGGUACAGGCAGACUAUAGUGCAGUAGGGGGAGACUGGAAUUCCUGGUGUAGCGGUGUGAAUGCGCAGAUAUCACCGAGGAACACCCUAUGGCGAAAGGCUCGUCUCUGGGGCUGUACUGACGCCUCAAGAGCUGAUAGCAUGGGGAGCGAACACGAUUAGAUACACCUGGUGAGUCCCUGACGCCAUGUCGUGGCCCUAGUUGUUGGUCGAAAAUACUCCCGUUUUUUCCGCCGAUACAAGAGUUAUAUAUUUGACUCGCUGGGUGGACUCGGGGGCAGGCUGACAAUAAAUAGACUGAGAUUGAGCGCCCGGCUCCCCCACGAACAUGAACAAUGAUUCUAAUCAAUUCUACCUAAAAAACUAACUACUGAU
rnacentral:rRNA from 1 species